UUAUGGGUUCGACCCCCAUCGUGAGUGCUUUGUUUCUUCCGUGAUAGUUUAAUGGUCAGAAUGGGCGCUUGUCGCGUGCCAGAUCGGGGUUCAAUUCCCCGUCGCGGAG
rnacentral:tRNA from 1 species